CCCCUGAUGGUCUAGUGGUUAAGGACGCGGUGCCAUCACCACCGAGGCCCGGGUUCGAUUCCUGGUCAGGGCC